rnacentral:rRNA from 1 species
CUACGGGUGGCUGCAGUGAGGAAUAUUGCACAAUGGAGGAAACUCUGAUGCAGCAACGCCGCGUGGAGGAUGACACUUUUCGAAGCGUAAACUCCUUUUAUAUAGGAAGAAGAUGACGGUACUAUAUGAAUAAGCGCCGGCUAACUCCGUGCCAGCAGCCGCGGUAAUACGGAGGGCGCAAGCGUUACUCGGAAUCACUGGGCGUAAAGAGCGUGUAGGCGGAUUAAAAAGUCAGAAGUGAAAUCCUAUAGCUUAACUAUAGAACUGCUUCUGAAACUCUUAAUCUAGAAUAUGGGAGAGGUAGAUGGAAUUUCUGGUGUAGGGGUAAAAUCCGUAGAGAUCAGAAGGAAUACCGAUUGCGAAGGCGAUCUACUAGAACAUUAUUGACGCUGAGACGCGAAAGCGUGGGGAGCAAACAGGAUUAGAUACCCGGGUAGUC